rnacentral:rRNA from 1 species
GACGAACGCUGGCGGCGUGCUUAACACAUGCAAGUCGAGCGGUAAGGCCCUUUCGGGGGUACGACGAGCGGCGAACGGGUGAGUAACACGUGGGUGACCUGCCCUCCAGCUCUGGGAUAAGCCUGGGAAACCGGGUCUAAUACUGGAUAUGACUCCAUGACGCAUGUUGUGGGGUGGAAAGCCUUGUGCGGCUGAGGAUGGGCCCGCGGCCUAUCAGCUUGUUGGUGGGGUGAUGGCCUACCAAGGCGACGACGGGUAGCCGGCCUGAGAGGCGACCGGCCACACUGGGACUGAGACACGGCCCAGACUCCUACGGGAGGCAGCAGUGGGGAAUAUUGCACAAUGGGCGAAAGCCUGAUGCAGCGACGCCGCGUGAGGGAUGACGGCCU